rnacentral:rRNA from 1 species
UACGUAGGGGGCAAGCGUUGUCCGGAAUCAUUGGGCGUAAAGCGCGUGUAGGCGGCCAGAAAAGUCCGCUGUGAAAACUCGAGGCUCAACUUCGAGCUGUCGGUGGAAACUUUCUGGCUAGAGUCCGGAAGAGGAGAAUGGAAUUCCUGGUGUAGCGGUGAAAUGCGCAGAUAUCAGGAAGAACACCUAUGGCGAAGGCAGCACUCUGGGACGGUACUGACGCUGAGACGCGAAAGCGUGGGGAGCGAACAGG